CGAAGUUUAUUUUCUUUAUUUAUUAAUUAGAUUAAUUUAUUUAUUUAUUUUCUUUAUUUUGAAGUGGGCACAAUUCGAUUAGUUCUAUUGCAAUUAUUAGGUUGCAAUAUAUUUUAAGAUAAUGAUUUUAGAAAUAAUAGUUUUAGUUGCAAUAGGAUACGACUUUAUGUUUUCCAAAAUCAAAACACUAUCUUUUGGUUAAGACUUACUCUCAAGGAUUAACAAUUGCAGUACACGUUUUUUUAUAAUAAAUAAAAGGAUUUAUACAUAUAUUUUUUCAUAGUUAUCAACAACACUAAGAAUUUGUAUAAAUAGGAGUUAAUUAUUUCAUUGUGGGGGACGAAAAGUUAUAG
rnacentral:lncRNA from 1 species